AACGAACGCUGGCGGCAUGCCUAACACAUGCAAGUCGAACGAGACCUUCGGGUCUAGUGGCGCACGGGUGCGUAACGCGUGGGAACCUGCCUUUAGGUUCGGAAUAACUCAGAGAAAUUUGAGCUAAUACCGGAUGAUGUCUUCGGACCAAAGAUUUAUCGCCUUUAGAUGGGCCCGCGUUGGAUUAGCUAGUUGGUGGGGUAAAGGCCUACCAAGGCGACGAUCCAUAGCUGGUCUGAGAGGAUGAUCAGCCAGACUGGGACUGGGACACGGCCCAGACUCGUGGGGGAGGGGGGGAAGGGGGAUAUAGGAGAAGAGGCCGAAGGCUGAAACAGCAGGGCCGGGAGAGUGGUGAAGGGGUUGGAGUAGGAAAGCGCUUUUGACCGAGCUGAUUGUGACGGUAGCGGGAGAAUAAGCACCGGCUAACUACGUG
rnacentral:rRNA from 1 species